UGUUCUGUGGCGGAGUUGGUUAACGCGUCUAGCGAACUUGGGGAGACGUGGGUUCAAAUCCCACCAGAACUA
rnacentral:tRNA from 1 species